rnacentral:rRNA from 1 species
UGCAGUCGACGGGGUAUCAGGGUACUAAUCCCCCAAGUACCUAGUGGCGAAUGGGUGCGUAAUCCGUGAGCGCCCUACCCCGGAGCUUGGAAUAACACCGGGAAACCGGUGCUAAUACCCAAUACUCUCAUUCGGCCGGAUGACUGAAUGACGAAAGAUUUAUCACUCUGGGAAGGGCUCACGGCCUAUCUGCUUGUUGGUGAGGUAACGGCUCACACAAGCUACGACGGGUAGCUGGUCUGAGAGGACGAUCAGCCAACCUGGGACUGAGACACGGUCCAGACUCCUACGGGAGGCAGCAGUGGGGAAUAUUGCGCACUGGGCGAAAGCCUGACGCAGCAACGCCGCGUGGAGGAUGAAGGCUUUCGGGUUGUAAACUCCUUUCAGCAGGGACGAAACUGACGGUACCUGCAGAAGAAGCCCCGGCUAACUACGUGCCACCAGCUGCGGUGAGACGUAGGGGGCAAGCGUUGUCCGGAUUUAUUGGGCGUAAAGAGCUCGUAGGCGGCUUGGCAAGUCGGAUGUGAAAUCUCCAGGCUUAACCUGGAGUCGCCAUCCGAUACUGCUAUGGCUAGAGUCCGGUAGAGGAUCGUGGAAUUCCUGGUGUAGCGGUGAAAUGCGCAGAUAUCA